rnacentral:misc_RNA from 1 species
GAUGAAGAACGUAGUGAAAUGCGAUAAGUAAUGUGAAUUGCAGAAUUCAGUGAAUCAUCGAAUCUUUGAACGCACAUUGCGCCCGCCAGUAUUCUGGCGGGCAUGCCUGUUCGAGCGUCAUUUCAACCCUCAGGUCCCCCUUUUCGGAGGGGGAGACACCCUGGUGUUGGGGGACGGCAUCCUGGCCCGCUGUCUCACAGUGUGCCACGCCGCCCCCGAAAUGAAUUGGCGGCCUCGUCGCGUGCCACCCCUGCGUAGUAGCACAACCUCGCAACGGGAGCCCGACGCGGCCACUGCCGUAAAACGCCCAACUUUUACCGAGUUGACCUCGAAUCAGGUAGGAAUACCCGCUGAACUUAAGCAUAUCAAUAACGGAGGA